rnacentral:rRNA from 1 species
UGGGGGAUAUUGCACAAUGGGCGAAAGCCUGAUGCAGCGACGCCGCGUGGGGGAUGAAGGCCUUCGGGUUGUAAACUUCUUUUGCUCUGAACAAGGCGCACCAUGGGGUGUGUUGAGUGUAGGGGUUGAUUAGCGCCGGCUAACUACGUGCCAGCAGCCGCGGUAAUACGUAGGGCGCGAGCGUUGUCCGGAAUUAUUGGGCGUAAAGGGCUUGUAGGUGGCUGGUUGCGUCUGUCGUGAAAGCUCAUGGCUUAACUGUGGGUUUGAGGUGGUUACGGGCUGGCUUGAGUGCAGUAGGGGAGGCUGGAAUUCCUGGUGUAGCGGUGGAAUGCGCAGAUAUCAGGAGGAAUACCGGUGGCGAAGGCGGGUCUCUGGGCUGUUACUGACACUGAGGAGCGAAAGCAUGGGGAGCGAACAGG